UCCGUAGGCGGGUAAUUAAGUCAGAGGUGAAAUCCCACAGCUCAACUGUGGAACUGCCUUAGAUACUGGUUAUCUUGAGUUUUAGUGAAGUAGAUAGAAUGUGUAGUGUAGCGGUGAAAUGCAUAGAUAUUACACAGAAUACCGAUUGCGAAGGCAGUCUACUAACUAACGACUGACGCUAAUGGACGAAAGCGUGGGGAGCGAACAGGAUUAGAUACCCUGGUAGUCC
rnacentral:rRNA from 1 species